UGGGGAAUAUUGGACAAUGGGCGCAAGCCUGAUCCAGCAAUACCGCGUGUGUGAAGAAGGCCUGAGGGUUGUAAAGCACUUUCAGUGGGGAGGAAUAGCUUGAGGCCAAUACCCUUAAGAAUGACAUUACCCACAGAAGAAGCACCGGCUAACUCCGUGCCAGCAGCCGCGGUAAUACGGAGGGUGCGAGCGUUAAUCGGAAUUACUGGGCGUAAAGCGUGCGUAGGCGGCUCGUUAAGUCAGAUGUGAAAGCCCCGGGCUCAACCUGGGAACUGCAUUUGAUACUGGCAGGCUAGAGUUAGGUAGAGGGGAGCGGAAUUUCAGGUGUAGCGGUGAAAUGCGUAGAUAUCUGAAGGAACACCAGUGGCGAAGGCGGCUCCCUGGACCCAAACUGACGCUG
rnacentral:rRNA from 1 species